rnacentral:rRNA from 1 species
CCUACGGGAGGCAGCAGUGAGGAAUAUUGGUCAAUGGCCGGAAGGCUGAACCAGCCAUGCCGCGUGAAGGUCAGUGCCCUAUGGGCGUUAAACUUCUUUUGUGCGGGAGCAAUAAUGGUCACGUGUGGCCAGACGAGAGUACCGUACGAAUAAGCAUCGGCUAACUCCGUGCCAGCAGCCGCGGUAAUACGGGGGAUGCAAGCGUUAUCCGGAUUUAUUGGGUUUAAAGGGUGCGUAGGCUGGGAGGUAAGUCAGCGGUGAAAUGCCCCCGCUCAACGGGGUGAAGUGCCAUUGAUACUGCCUGGCUGGAAUGCGGAUGCCGUGGGAGGAAUGUGUGGUGUAGCGGUGAAAUGCAUAGAUAUCACACAGAACACCUAUUGCGAAGGCAUCUCACGAAUCCGCGAUUGACACUGAUGCACGAAAGCGUGGGUAUCAAACAGGAUUAGAUACCCUAGUAGUC